CCACCCUCCCCCUCCCCACCGCACCUGGUUUACGACACUCGCGGCUUUACGACAUCACCUUCCUAACACCUAGCGGCGCUCGCUCUACGGCCGGAACCUUGUUGCUAGGGCCGGGGCGGUUUGCGGCAGCCUCGGACGCUGCGGAGUUUGAAUCGGGGAGGCGAGGGAAAAGUUUUGCUCAGACGCGCGGGUUUCCCCAGCCUACCCGAACGGGAAGUGACAGCAGUUGGGUUGAACUUCAGCUGGACGGAGAAGGAGGCGAGAAAUUCCGCUCUCAGGAAAGCCGCAUGAGUAAUCCCCGCACGGUGCCAGGCUCACUUCCUCAUCCGCGCCUAGUUCACCUGCUGUCACCUUGCCUACUCCGCCCUUGCAGGGUCCCAGGGUGGCCAGGCUCGUGGGCGUUAUGACUUGCCCUUGAGGCAUAAACAGCUCUAGGGGGAGCACGCCUGGAAACCUGUAAUCCGAAACUUGGAGAGCCUGAAGCAGGAGGAUGGCCGAAAGUUCAAGGCCAGCCUUCACUACUACAGUGGGACUCUGCCUCAAAAUAACUACACUUUCACACACAUCUGAGCAGUAUAAUGACCUCAAGGCUAAAAGCAAAGCUGACUAGUGUUCGCUGAGGCUGAUUUUUAUCUUAAGUCCUUGACUUUGUACAAGACCCCAAAUAUUUUGAUACCCAUCUUCAAUAAUUAAGAUUUAAAUUUACCUUUCUCUCCCUCCUUCCCACCCCUUUCAAAGGAGGAAUUGUGUGGGACAACUUUAUAAGAUAAAUGACCUAAGCUAUUAUUUCAGAUAUGUAGUUACUAAAUGUUAAUGUAUAAACGAGAGUUAUGGAUAGAAAUAACAACUGAAACAUGCCUUGGAGUCUAAGAAAUAAUACACGAAAGCAGCACAGUGCGGAUACAUGCAAGCUGCUUGGUAAGUUUCUGCCCACAGGUUUUGCCAUGCCUUAGGCAAGGUAUUUUAUUGUGUGACUAGUCAUGGUGACAUAUACCAGCAAGCUUUGCUUGUGGGAGGUGGAGGCAGGAAGGUCACAAGUCCCAGACCAACUCUGGCUGCAUAGUGAGACUCUGCCCCCACCCCUCAAAAAAAAAAAAAAACAAACCCUCCAAUCCCCAAAUGUUAAAAAGAGUCAUUAAAUGAAGUAAGUGUACAGCCGAAGUCCAUUAAUUAAGAAGUGCUGGCUGUAGAUGAAAAGCUGCUUCCCACAUUUGUUGUGUCUGAAGAAUGGGAGUACACAUGUUCUUUGCACAUCAGCUCUAUUCUUGUUGCAAAACUAGACUGUCUCUUGGUCCUUGUACAUGUAGGCAGUGCUUCUUUUCCUCGGUACCAUGUUCACUGAAACACAUUUGUAUCAGAUGGUGGCCUUGGAUUAGUGGCCUUGGAUCACCCUAUAGCUCAGCCUUUAAGCUUGGGAGCCCUCUGCCUUAGCAUCCUGAGUGGCUGGGAUCACAAGAAUGAGCCAUGGCCAGGCCUCAGUUGCUUUCUGAAUCAGAUCAUAAACUUUUGUCUUUUACCAGAAGGUGUCUAGUUUCCACUUGUUACCGUCACCCUUGUUCCAGCCAAAAAGAACAUUUUUUUUUUUUUUAAUUUCACUCUACCACCCAUUUUACCUUCCCUUACACUUGGGAGGUGUCACACAUCCAGUUCUUUUUCUGGCUUGUAAACCCUUCUGUGUUCUUAGCGGGAACAAUCAGAGGCCUACAAAAACAAACAGAAGAUACUUUGUUCCUUCUGGGGUUGCCGAUGUCUUAUGUGGGGGCAGUUAUUAACUAUGGGGAUGGUAAACCCUUCUUUGCCAUUUCUGUAUCCUCAACACCUAGCAAAGUACCUAACCGCCUAGUUGAUGUUUAAUAAAUAUAUCUGAAAUAA